UACAGAGGGCUCAAGCGUUGUUCGGAUUUAUUGGGCGUAAAGGGUGCGUAGGUGGCGCGGUAAGUCGGGUGUGAAAUCUCGGAGCUUAACUCCGAAAAUGCAUUCGAUACUGCCGUGCUUGAGGACUGGAGAGGAGACUGGAAUUCAUGGUGUAGCAGUGAAAUGCGUAGAGAUCAUGAGGAAGACCAGUGGCGAAGGCGGGUCUCUGGACAGUUCCUGACGCUGAGGCACGAAGGCCAGGGGAGCAAACGGG
rnacentral:rRNA from 1 species